CAGCCAUGCCGCGUGAGUGAUGAAGGCCUUAGGGUCGUAAAGCGCCUGUGAAGAUAAUGACGGUAGCAGGUAAAGAAACCCCGGCUAACUCCGUGCCAGCAGCCGCGGUAAUACGGAGGGGGUUAGCGUUGUUCGGAAUUACUGGGCGUAAAGCGCACGUAGGCGGACUGGAAAGUUGGGGGUGAAAUCCCGGGGCUCAACCCCGGAACUGCCUCCAAAACUAUCAGUCUAGAGUUCGAGAGAGGUGAGUGGAAUUCCGAGUGUAGAGGUGAAAUUCGUAGAUAUUCGGAGGAACACCAGUGGCGAAGGCGGCUCACUGGCUCGAUACUGACGCUGAGGUGCGAAAGUGUGGGGAGCAAACAGGAUUAUACCCUGGUAGUCCACACCGUAAACGAUGAAUGCUUCGGUAGCAUGCUAUUCGGUGACACACCUAACGGAUUAAGCAU
rnacentral:rRNA from 2 species